AAUGAACACGAUGGCAGGGGGAGCCUGUCUUCAAUGUGUGAGAAUAUAUCUAAUUAAUGGGGUCAGGGGAAGGGUCCCCUGGGGCAGACAGCCACACCAAGGGUACACAGGGUGCCCUGGGAAGCUGUGCUCCUGGCGCUGGUCCCACGUGGGCCACAGAACCAGAGGGAUGCGUGGUCUGAUCCUGCCUGGCAGUUUCUGUGCAAAAUGGGGCCAAUUUGCUGGGAAGCUUCCCACUCCCAAGGAGGGAAGAGGUGGGCUGCGAGUUUAACAAACAUUUUGGUAUUUGGAAGUCAUUCCCAGAUCUCAUUUAACACACAGACUGCAUUUCCCGUUGCUAACUGGCAGCAAAGAGCUCAUCAACAUUUAAAUAAGAGGCUUGUUAAUGCCAGCGUGAGGCAGGUUUGCAUGCCAAGGCUGGCUAAGGUUUCAUGCCAAGGAUUUUCUAAGAGAGAAUUUCUCUAGGAAACUCCUUUAAAAAGAAGAAUUCACUACUGGUUAAAGAGAGCGAGGGCUUAAUUUGAAGAGGUGCUGAGCUGGUUAAGUCAAAUGGAUGGUGCAAGAGCUGAAAGCCUGUGAAAAUCAGACUCCUGCUUUUAAAUCAAUUAACUGAAGAAUGGCAUGUGGAGUUUUGCAACUGAGUAUGCUUUCUGCAGUGCAAUAACUGAAGGAAAAAAGGCUACACAUAACUUCUUCCUUCAGUGUCACUGACUUUCCCAUUAAUGGUAAAUAUGCUCAGGUGAGACUUUAAAUGCACCUGCUACCUGAGUGUGGAAAUAUGAGACUCUACAAAUGGUCACAUGUGCCUUACUACAUGGAGGAUGUGCAAUCUUUGGCUGUUUUUCUAGAUAUCAAAUGAGUCCUGUAAAUGAAAAAGCAUUUUUACUCUGGAACUUUGUUUUGAGCCUUCCAUAUGGAGACAAAGUCAUCUCAGAGCAACUGGAGAGGAAGGGUGGCAGUUUUGGCAGAGCUAGAGGGUCCUGCGCUGUAUGUCUCUAUAGGAUGUUUUAUUGCCUUUCCUUGUUCCGUCACAGAACAGGAGUAAUGUCCGUGGUGUCAGAAUAUGCACAUGGUAAUUGGCUUUUGCUGUAAUUAAAUGCCUCGGUGCCAGCGUUUAAUCAGCCGCCAAAGCCGUUUAUUGCCUCAUAUACGGCUGCACCACACGCAUUACCCCUUAAUUAGUUGCUGAAAUAGUGAUGAUUUAGCAGCGUCUUUAUGUUUAUACUUUAAGACAGCAGAUUCAGUCCAACACCAACAAUAUGGCAAGAUAAAAAAGCAGACCAUUCUGCUAUGCAAUGAUUUUGAGCUUAUUUAUUUUUCCUUACCUCAUGGAAAACAGUGUCAUAAGUAACUCCUGGUGACACCGCACUGGAGGUGGUUGGCACUUGGAAAGCAGUUGCUAAGUCUCUGCUCUGCUUAAGGCUGACCUUGGGUAUUUUAAGUGGAUUCAGUAUCCAUAAAACAUUGUUCCCAAAAAUUCUCAGCAGCAAAAGAAGUGUAAGCUUCACCCACGUUGACACACCGUUACCAGGACUGCCAGGUGGGGCAGACCUGAGGCAGAGAGCUCCCAGUCUUCUCACAGGAGCUCCCUGAGGAAAGGAACUCCUUGGUGUAGCUGGAGUAGUGGCACUUUGUUUUGCACCACCCUGGCAGGCUGUGACACUGACAGUGGCAUCAGUUCUCCUGACAGCCCCACCCAAACUCCUCUUCCCCCUUUUCCAGGCUUGUUUUUGCAGCCAUGGUGCUGCUGUGUGGUGCAGCCACUUGCCACUUUUGGAGUAAUGGAGCAGUGAAAGGGCCCACUCACUUGUCCAUUCAUCUUUUCCAGUUUUAGUUGUCUGAAAGGAAGAGGUCUGGUCUGAUCUUUCAGAGUCCCUUGAGGGAGGGCAUGAGGGAGAUAACUCCAGAAAGCAGUUCACCCUGCCAAAGCUAUGCUGGAGGAACGGCCCUUUGGAAAUGUCUCUCUCUCACAGAGGGAGCCCUGCGCUAUCUUGCAUUGGGCUCUUCCCUUCCUAACUAUUACUCCAAACCCUUCCCAGAACACCAGUACUGCUAAGACCAGCAUUGGGGACAGAUUUAUCAGCCUUCUAGGUUUCUUUUCUGCUUUGAAAACCUCUGAGGAAGCUCAGGAAGCCUCUGAAAUCUUCUCCAAAUUGACUAGAAAGCAAAACAAAACUCCUUUUUUGACACAGAAGUCAUACAGGAGAUUAGCCUAGAUAAACAUCAAGAUGAACAUCCCAGGCUCACCUUUUUUCAAAGCCAGGUGGUUAAAUCACCAGUAGCUACAGCUGGAGACCGCCAUUGCACCAGAACACAGGGAGUUAUGUUCAUCUCACCAGACACAUCACCAACAGAGCCAGUCACCUCUGCCUCCAUCCCUCAGCCCCAGGACAGCCACCACUGGCACCUGGAUUUUAGAUAGACUUCACUCCCAAAGCUUUCAUUGUCUUCAAAGAAUUCUGGUAGCCUUUGAUUGCAAGAAAAGCAGUGCCAAACUAAGGAAUUAAUAGCUCCCCCACCCUUGGCCCUUGCCUCUGGCCCCUGGCCUGCUAAUGCAUUUUGAUUUGCGUGUGGACAACGUAUCCCUGGAACUUUUCCAUCGUAACAAGUUUAGGAAAAAGUAGCUUGUGCUAUAAAGGAAGUAAUAAUAUCAAGUUUGGAAAACUAUAUAGCAGUUUGAAUAGAGUUGAAAGCCCACACCAUCACACUCCCUUUACUGCCAAGACAAAGCCUGUCAGACUCACGUGUCCUGUAGGAACAAGCUGCAGUUUGUCCUUUCCUGAGGGAGAACACAGGCCCUUCCUAAAGUCCCCUGGGGAAGGAGAGGAGGAGCUGGGAGCAAGGCUGCUGCCUGCACCUCCUUCCACAGCUAGCAAAGCAUCCCCUGACAAUACAUAACCUACUAAAGAAGUCCUUCAUUUUCUCUGGUGGUGGGAAAGUAAGGAUGGUAUUUAAUUUACAGACAAGAAUAUUUGGUCUGGGCAGUAGGAGAGACUGUCCAAGGGUGAAGACAACACUGCUAUAGAGAGGACUGGGAGGGGAGGUUGUGGGAUUUCCAUAUGCGGAUGUCUUCAAGGUCACACUAAAGUUUUCUUGGGAAUGCCAUGGAGGGAAUGGGUUUAGCUGUUUUGUGUGGCUUGGGAUCUUUCUAUAACUCAAAAAUUGUUUUAGGAUAACCACAUCUGCUGAUAGGGAGAACAGUAUUAAUCUCAUUUAACCCUUAAAGGCACGAAACAAACCUGUCCCAGAUGCUUAUCUAAAGAAAAGAUGACAUCACUUCUCCAUUGACAGGAGGGACAAAAAAAGCUGUCUUCUAGGGUGCUGCUAAGUUCAUGGAAAUGAAUCCCACCUUGAAGACAAUCUGUGCAGCACUGUGCAGGAGAUUUCUGAGAGAAAAGGGUUUUUAUAGAAAGGUCCAAGGAUAGAAAGGGUAGAAAAACAGAGGCUAUAAGCAGGGUGCAGAUAUCUAGCAUACAGUACUUGUGGAAAAGCUUACUGCGAUACACUGGACUCCCCACCACAUGAAGCAUUUCUGUCAGCAGUGUUCAGUGCCGCACCAGGUUCUCUGGCAGGAGAGGUGGAGGUCAGGCUGUGUGGCAACCAGUGACCAGAUUUUUAAAGCAGAUGGGAACAAUCCUGAUUAUUUACCGCAAUGAUAGCCUAGAAACAAGUUUCUAGAAGAGACAGGCUUUGCUAACCACACUUCUUUCUACUCUCCCCAUAACAGUUUGAAUAAUGUUUCUCCAUUCAGCUGCAGAGCAAGGUGUCUGGCUCUCCUGUCACCCCUUCACAACACAAAUUUGAGAACAUUUGUGGACACCUUCCCAUACAGCCCAACUGUGCAGAUUACUGCAUGGGUUAGGAAUGGAGUGCUCUCCACUGCAAAGGCACACAUUUUUAGGAACAGUGCAAAAUUCAUCAAGAGAUGGUCAGUGUGAUGGGGAACAGCUUUUCUUGGGACACUUUUACACCUUUACUUCACCCAACAGUGAAACAGACUCUUGAAUUAAGUAUGCUCGGGAGCCACACAAUGAAAUUUCGAACCUAAAAGAAAAAAAGUUGAAGGAUAUGAAGCGUAAUUGCAGGUGGAGGCUGGGAGAAAGUAAAUACCAUUCAACUUGAAAAAAUAAUUUCACACGCUAGCAAACAAAAAUGAAAUUUAUAAGAAGUUUAUUGGAUUGGUAAAAUGUAAUAAAAAAGCAUUUGUGAUACUUCUUCUGCAAAGAAAAAAGGCAUCUGGCGAUUUUGCAUAUUUAUUUUCCCUUACAAAACAUUUGAAAAGCAUAACUGAUAAAAAGGAUAACAACUGAAAGAGCAGAGCAAAGAGGAAAAUACAUCUCAAUAUAAUUGGAUAAUGCAUAAUAAAAAUACAGAAAACACAUGCUUAAAACAGCUUUCAUUCUCUUAUUGUAAAAAGUUAUUUUAUGUGUUGAAUAAAAAAUAUAUGCCGGUUGCUCUGAAAAUUGCAGUUUAAAAGAGGUAACUAGCUGAGAACAAAAUAUAUAUAUCUAUAUAUAUUUAUAAAUAUAGAAAACGUGUAUAUGCUGCAUCUGUCCUCAGAACAAAUUGGAAUAAAUGAUUUUCAAUUCAUGCACACAAGUUACCAGAGAAAAAACUUCAUUUAUUGCCUAGCAGAUUGAUCCUGUAAGGUGCUGAUUGCAUUUCCUGAGUGCCCUCAAAGCCCUGUGGGAGUAGUCAGUGAGGGAGACAAGUGGCCUGAUGGGUUCAGUGACAAGGGAGGCUACUCAGCAGCUCACAGGAGGUGCACUCAGCAAUUCACAGGAAUCAGAAAAAUUCCAAUGGCAGCAGGAUUAGGCCCCCCACAGGCUUGGGUAGUGCUUUUGCUCAGCAAGGAGUAAAAAUCUGGUACCCCCAAGCUCUGACAAACAGGAGACCAGUCCUAAAAGCUCAAGUAAUGUUACUUCAUUAGGAUCUGAGGGUAUAGAGUGUGCAGCAGAAGCAUUCCUCACACAGGAAGUGCUUCCUUGUGCCCCCCUGCCCAGAUCCCUAGGCUAGUGAUUCACAUUUAAAAGGAAGAUGCUUCCCAUACCACUGAGAGCCUCUGUGGGCUGACACUGGACAAGGAGGAGAGUGGCCAGUCACGCUCCCUCCCAACUGCAGCAAAGGCAACAACGCAAAACCUUCUCCAUCUCAAGGGCUAAACCAACAACCACCACAAAGCUGAAACACCACCUCAAACCACUGUGAAUUACUGCACAUCCAGGACAGAUCAUCCCCAGUGAACCCUCGAGCAGACAGCUCUACAACUGGCAGGGGUAGGCCAAAGCAUAGCAGCUACAUAGGACACAUACAUUCCUGGGGGCACUUCCUCCUUGCAGUCUGAAAGAGCUGAAUCAUUCUCCCAGCCUUUAGGGGGUUCUCCAUGGGGCAUGUAGCCAAGAAGAAACUUUCUGGAAUGACCUAUGUGUGGUUCAGAUGCCCUUGUAUCAGCCCACAGGUAAAGCCAGUGUGAGAGAUUGGGCUCUGAAAACAUGUUGUUUUGUUCUGAAAACUGACUGCAGAAUUAGUACUCGGGGUCUCUCAUUUGACUAACUAGAGGGAAGGCACUGGAGGCUGCUCUCCAGUCUCUCUGACUGUCCAAAGCACAGGCUGUGGCAUGGGAAAGUACAGGACCAUUAAGGAAGCUGAUGUCUCACCAAGGCAGAUCCUUUCUAGCAAGACUGAAAGAAAGUCCAGGCAUUACUUGGCUCUACCCUUACCUCUACCAAUACUCAGUUCUCACUCUCCAAAGAGACAGCAGAGGAGGUCACAAUGGUACAGUUCAAAGCAUCAAAACAUCAAGUCUCUCCCUUUACUGCAUUUCCAAUACACCUUGCAUUUCCUGUCCAAUCACAGCAGACAAAAGUUUCCUAUAACAUUAUUUUGAGGGUUGAAAAUGAGAGCAUAUCAGCCUUUGUAAUACAGUAGCACCAAUCAAACUUUGGUUCACCUUCAGAUUUUCUCCUCUAGCAAUAUAUAAAAAAUGAGUGAUGGAGAUUUUUUAUAAGAGACAAUAUUAAGGGAAUAAAUUCUUCAGAUAUGAAUGACUCUGGAGUUCUGAUCAGGAAGAGAUGUUUGAGGAAAUACACCGAAGUAUACCUCUGCUACAGAACAGCUGUCCACCAGACAACAGGGUGUGUAAAGCAAGACAAGCUGUACUGAUGGGAUAAGCAAUUGCUUUGCUUAUCCCCAUGGAGAACAAAUGCUCAGCAUUAGCCUCUUUCUUCUCCAUCACCCUCCUAGUUCCCAUCCCUGCUCAGCACUAGGACUGUUUCUCUGCUGCCCAUAAAGGAGCACAGCAGGUCUCUGAAAAGGCACAGAGUGAAGAAAGUGGAAUACACUUUUUGUAAAGGCAGCUCUGUCAAUAGCCUACUUGUUACCUUGCUGGUUGUUCUGUUGAGGUGCUUUUCAGCAGCUUAGCUACUUAGGCUAUUAGAAAUACUACUCUUUAGGUGGAUAAAACAAAGAACUAGAUCAGGCUUGGGGGACAAGGCACAAAAUGUCCAUUUGCCAAACUGAAAUGGGUUUGCAGCCCACAUAAAGCAGUUAGUAAAGCACUGGCAGAUGCAAAAAAAAUGCCCCAGUUUGGAUUUUCAAUGGGUACCAUCUCAACACAGUUGAAACACAAACUACAACCUCCGGCUGUGCAUUUCAGUGCAAACUGCUCUUAUCUCAUGCAGUCCUGAAUGAAACAUUAGCACAAAGGCAGCCUAAUUGGAACAGGAUCUUCUCCUCCUUCCCUGCAAAUCCUCGUCAUCCACACAUUGCCAUAGUUCAUGGCAGAGAGAAAACGGCUGAUUCUGGCAAAAUACUCAUACUAGGAAGGCAGGAUCAAGCCCUAGGCUGGACACAGACUCACCAUGGGGAGCAGCACUGGCUGUGGAGAGGAUAAGGUUGACCUUGCUCCCUUAGCAGGCCUUCAUCACUCCCAUGCUGCAGCAGUGUGGAAAGCUGGAGCAAAUGUUUGCAGAGAUGCUGGGCUCUGGUUUAGUUUAGGGAACAGAGGGUGUCAUUUUUCUCCUUUUUACCACCCAGGAAAAUUAUAAAAGCAACAAGAAACGACACUGAAUGGCCAUCUCCCCUUUAGUUUUGAAAACCUCUAUAUCAGACUGGAAAAUAUUCUGAUUGCAUUUUCUGGUUCCAAACUCUAGGUGACCUCUCCUAGACAGAGCUCCUAACUGUUUUCAUUCAGUGCCCAAACCAAAGGGCUCCAUGCCCUAUCGGGACCAGGGCAAGACUACAACUCAACAAAUGAAAAGUAAAAAUAAUGAUACCAUGAAAAAGCACAUAGUCUUGAUUACCAAAAAUGCUGAAUAAGCAAAGCUACAAUGGAACAAAACCAGCAGGAGACAUAGGAACAGCCAUUAAAAUAAAAAAACAGAGCAAUUCUGCCCUUUAUUUCCUUGCCACGUUUAUUAUUUUCACCUCUCUUUUCUCACAGAUGAAGUGAGGCAGGCCAGUUCUUUUUCCUUUUCAAGCCGGCUUUGCUCUCUGGGCUGUCACGCUGCUGGCACAGCCCUGCGGAGACAGGACUUCCCGCACUUCAGGGGAAUGCUGAACUGGGGCUAUUUUUUAAACAUCAAACUAUUCCUGUUCACUGUACACUCUGCUUCCAAAAAUAAAACAAGCAUCCGAGUCUUUAAACAAGUAGACGGACCCUUUAAAGUCUCAUAACAAUGUUUUAAACCUGGGGUGGGAGGGAUGGGAACGGGAAUACAUUUUCCUACUAAUUGGAAAUAAUGAAACCAAUGUUUGUGGAUAUGAAAUGCUGGGUAAUAACAAAUCAGAGGUCUGUUGCUGAGCCCGUUCUGCCAGCCAGCCUUUGUGAGAAAAAGACAGCAAGAAAGGGUUUUCUCUUUGCAUUGAUGAACUUAAAAUGAAAGCAAGGGCAAUACAUGGGAAAGAAAAAGGUAGACAGGUACAGGGCAUGGAAAUUAUUUGCCUGGAGCAACCACAGAAGUAGGCAGAAAAAUGGCAAAAAUAAUGUCUCCUUUUUUCCUUAGCCCUGGUUCCUAAAACUAGUUUGGGAAUGAACUGGGGGAAGGGGAGGAAGGAGCAGCAAUUUGAACACAGCAGAUGCUCCAGUUAAACCAUAUCUUCUCAGAGAGGAACUGAGGGUGGGGGCAGGGGAGAUGGCUAUUAUUAAUGUCCUUCCGUAUAUAGCAAAGCAGACAUCCUGCAUAAUGGCAACACAAUACAUCAAUAAUAGCCCAAGAAUAGCUUCCUACCGGUUUUUUCCCCCUGACAGUUAGAAACAUAAAGAGAAAAAUCAAGCUGCUGAGAUAAAUAGCUGAGUCUCCACCCCCACCUCAAAUUGCCUUGGCAUAUUUUAAGAGAUAAAUGGUUCUAUGAGAAAUUUAAAUAGCUUUCUCUUUUCUUUUUUGGCAGCUGCAGGAACUGGGUCAGGUGUAGAAAUUAUUAAUUUAGAAGCCUGAAAAACCCAUGUUUGAAACUAAGUUUUUUUUUUUUUUUUUUCCUUUAAAGCAUCAACUUUCUUAGAAGCAGAGUUACAAAAAAUAAAAAAUAAUUGAGGGGCAUUUUUUUAAGCAGAAGUCAGGUUAAAAAUAAUGAAAUAACAGUCCAAGCUAUAGAAAAGGGACAAUUUGGGUAACAGUCUAAUGGACAUUAAAAGUAUCUGUAGUAUAUUGUUAAUGGUUUUUUUUGCAGAGUACAGUAUUUGCCUAAUGGCUUUCAUUCCUCUUGAUCAAACAUAGCACUGGAGUCUGCCUUGAGGAAGAGGUCUGGGGGACACCAUUCUGUAGCUUUACACAAAGUUUAGAGCAUGUUUCCAAAGAGACAAGAGAUUACUCCCAAAGUGACCAGCACCAAACACUCCCACAAGCAGCCCAUUAUUAUUCUGCAGGUCUCAGAACUGACACCUCAGGGAGCUCAUCUGCUUGAGGCUGUGCUCGCUGGUGAACCUGGUACUGAACCAUGUGUAAAUCACUGCCUUUCCCCUCCCACUCAAGUUACUCUAGCUUUCCACAUUGAUACCAGGAUUUGUAACACAGCUUCUCUGCACGAUGCCAAAAGCCACCUCCCUUCUCAUGCCAUAUGGGGAAGGAUCUCUUUGCAACCAUAAAACCUUGAAUCUUACAGAGAAAAAAGGUCAAAUCCUGUAGGAAUAGCUCUGAGCAAAGAAAUGCUGAUGAAAUAUCUCACAGGAGAGUACACUAGUUAAGACCUGUAAAAGGUUCAAAUUUCCAGUGCUAUAAAGAACUCUGAGGUCUUGAAAGAUACCCAGUUGGCAGGCAGCCCACUUCCUCUGCUGCAUGGCUGGUAAAAUCCUCCUGCUCAUCGUGCUCUGCUCUGUGUCCCAAGUCAGGCGGAUACCUGAGAGGGAGGAGGACUCCCUCGUUCAUACUCACUGCACCUCGCAGGGCUCAUGGCUCGUGCUCUCCUUCCCUUAGUGACCAAUCAAAAAUUUAAAAAGGUGACAAAGAGCCAGAUGUAAAUAGAACUUCAGUGCCUAGAAAGUCAGAGCACAGAUAGGAUCAGAAGACAGACUGUAAUUACAGGCCCUGCUACUUAUUACAUAGGCCAGUUGGGCUACAUGAGCCUUUGGUGGAAACUUCCUGUGCAAUUAAUAAAGGAGAAACAGAAUACUUUUGCAAUCACUUUUCUAGCUUUCGCUGUGGGGGUCCAAUCCUGCCAUCCUGGAUUAGCUCUAAUCAUAGACAAUCUUUCUCUGCAUAAAAUGAAGGCAUCUGUUCUGUAAGACUAAGAAAAUAAAAGAAAAACGAAAAAAGGACAAAACCCUCAUUGCAAACCUACACCAUGCAAUCAAGAAGGAAAGGAAACUGAUCCUGAUCCCCCCCAGAUCGUAAUCUGACAAUGUUUUCAAGGCAUCUGGCAAAAAGGAAGAAGAAAGAAGAAUGCUAUGAAAUAUUUAAAAUCCUACUUCUGUCAAGAAUACAUGAGAGAAGAAAGGUGAGUUUGAAAGGGCUGCAUUAUUUGUAAAGUAAAACCUGAAAGCACCACCUUUUGCAUAGAGGCAUGAGGUGCCCUUGGCCUGAGCCAGAGCGGUCCUGAGAACAAAUACCAGGCACUGAUUCAGCAGGGACUGGUGUGACAGUCCAGGCUGGGUGCAGGAGGGACCCAAGUGCUGUCCUGCAACACCCUGGGAUGUACCACGGGAUGUGGAGGCUAAGGACAUGUGUUGCUAUUACAGCAAAACAGCUGUGCCUUUACAGCCAGCAACUGAUCCUCCUCAGCCAAAGCUUGAAUCAGAUUUUCAAGAGCAUGAGAAAUGGAGCAUCCCCAGGGGAGGAUUUCUCCUAAAGGCACUUUUUUUACUGCUGAGAUUCUCACCAAAGAGACUUCCAAGGAAGGGGAGACUGCCCUGUGAGAUCUGAGAUGCAUCAAAUGACACUUUGCUUUGCUCUUGCACCCAAGAUAUUUUCCAAUCUCAGAACCCCACUGGUAUAGAGCACCUUUGCAGAAAGAUCUCAAAGUGGGCCUGACCACUGGACUGAUCCCAACCCCAUCUCAAGAAGCAGGCACAGAAAAGGGCUGGAUGUGCCCAGCUGUCAUAAGGAGGAAGCCCCCAAGCAGAUAUUCAGGAGUUCCAAUGCUCAGCUGAGCCUUUUUCUUGGUCACAGCCACGUGCCUGCUGUACAGUCUCAGUAGAAACCAUAACAGAUUUCAGGACUGGCACUGGGCAUACAAAUGGGACCAAAAUGAUCCUGAAAUGCUGAAACAAAAGACACUUUGGAACAAAACUGGCACAGCCACAAUCCCCACAAUGCUUGUGUAAGAUAGAAAGAAAGAAUCCCUAGAAUGUAUUUAUCAAAAGCUAUUUUAUGCAGAUUUUUCCUUUUGAAUAUUUAAAACAUGGUGAAUAUUAAACUUCAGAGAUUCUUAAUAUGUUCCAAAGCCCCACGGACCUUUGAAAUGCUAGCUCAUCAAUAUGCAACAUCUAAUCUUGUCAGGAAAAGAAAAAGAGGGGGAAAAAGAAAAGCUAUUCAUCCUCUGCACACAGAGGUUACAGUGAGAAUCCCAAGGAAAAUAAAAAAAACAACCAACUUCCAGCAUCUUAUGCAAUAGGUUAAAUUUACUCUGGUUGGGAAAGUUUCACUUUCUGCAAGAGAGAAAGUGCCUGUACGUGCACAGCCAUUGGAAGCUUCUUCUGAAGUGUGAGGCUGAAACUGUGUAGCUGGAUUACAGUAAGUAGUUUAUUAAAAAAAACAAGGCUUGUGGCUUUGCAUCCUGUUCCAGUCCAAUGCAGUCUCAGGAUCCCCUCUCCAAAGGCCAGCAGACAGUGCGCCACCUAAAAAUCCAUUCUAGUCCAAAAUGCUGUGGUUGAAAUGGUUUUGCUUGUUUAUAAAGUUUAGUGUUUCGUAUCGCUUGCAUCUGACCUUCAGCAGAAAGAAAAGCUCAGUUAAAUUGUGCAAAUAUGUACCAAAUGGGAGCAAGGGAAGGCAGCCAAAAAUGCUGCAUGAGCUUUUGCAGGGCUGCAGCCUUUUAGGAGCACCAGUUAGAUGAACUGGAUGAGAGGCCAAAUUGAUUUAGGCUCCAGGCAGGAGCUUAAAACACCAUGACAUCCAAAUUCACAAAGAAAAUGUUCUGUUACUGCAACCCCAAAUUUCCUGCACAUGAAAACACUGUUUUCUUUCAUCUUUAGGAGAUGCUAGUUCUGUAAUCCGACAUUUAAAAAUGAACAAACAAACAGGAGUCAGCUGACAAAGGAUUCUUGCUGGUGAAUGGAAGUAGGUCACUCUGAGUAUUUAGCCUUUACAGUCUGGCUUAAUAUUAGUGUUGUACACAGAGCAGUAACCAAACUGCACUGGAGACAGGGAAAGACUCUAAUUUUGUCUUUUCUGUGAAAAUUAGCAUUAAUGUUCUGCAUUAAUGUGCAAUGCCUCCCCAGCAGCCGAUAUCUGGUUAAUUAAAAGAAAAACCACAACCACAAAGCAAACCACACACUAAAUUAAACAACAACAACAAAAAACCCUUACUGGUCAGCCUGCAUUUAAAGACAUCUCAGUAUGAGUAAUUGGGGAGAGAGGAAUUUUCCUGAAGGAACAUAAAAGAAAAUGAAAGCUUUACAUACAACACCAAAUAAAAUCUUCUGUCUCUCACGAAUGCAAAUUCUGGCUGCCCUUUUAUACAAACAUAUUAAAAGAAUAUAACUGGAGGAAAAAAUAAAGAGGAAAAGCUAAUAAAAUCAUUUUUGAGGAAAAAAAAUAUUUAAAAAACAAACUAUCCUUCAAAUAUAUUUCUUCAUGGUAAAUCCCUGCAAUCAUGUGGUUCUAAAUUACAUGGUUAAAUAUGACUGAAAAAGUAAGGCACAAUUUCAUAAUCAUUUAAAAAGCAAUAAUUAUAACAAUUUUCUUUGAUAUCCAUAUGGCAGGCCACUGAUACUAAGGACACACAAAACUGCUUGAUUAAAGAUCUGAAGAAGUUUUUCCAACUACUAGCUAAGGCUCACAAUACCUCGGUGAAGUUAUGAAGCCGUUCCUGCCCUCCUUCCACAACAAACCCUCAGUUACCAUUGCUGGUGUUUUCUCGUGGGAAUUUCACCACCAUGGGAUGGUUCAACACCUCCUCUCCAACAGUCCCAGCUUGCAGUACUGAACCUGUGUGAGGUGUUGUCCACCCAGGCUGCUGAACAAACAGCAAAUCAACACUGUGCCCCAACUGCAGGAACCAGACACCAACAGACACCAGUCAGCAACUCAAACCCUUUUGGAGCCACUCAGCACAAGCACCAUGUGUCUAUCCUUGACACAGGAUUUCUCUCAAGAACCUUCUCUUGGGUCCUGUUAUCCCUUGCCUUCCAGACUUUCUCAAAAUCAAAAGGAACCAGCAUUUAUCAAUACUGAUAAAUGCUGAUAAAACCUGACUAAGCCAGGCUUGAGUUAACCACAGCCAGGCAGCAGCCAUAACAGGUCCAAAGAGAUUUCAGACAGACUUGUCAUGUGUUCUCUUUAACAACCACCAUUUCUUUAAAGACACUUUUUUCUCAUUCUUCUCAGGCACAUUUUGCUGAUAGGCAGAAAAUCAACUUAAGGCCUGUGUUUUGUGAAAGUCUCGCUCCUGCUAUCAGGAUGAACACGGUUAUGUAGAGUGACAAACACUUCGGUACUCCCACACCUCUAUGAUUAAGUCAUUACCCAAGUGUUUUGCAGCCAUGAUAAAAAUCUAAGAAUUAAAAUAUUAACACCCCUCCCAAAACCAAAAUUAAAGGCUUGUUAUCUGAUAGGCUAAAGAAUUGAUGUGGCUUUCUGUUUUUAAAAGCAAUGUUCAGUGAAUAAAGUAAGUGACAAUAAAACCAUCACAUUCACAAAAUGCUAGUGUUAGCCUUGGGGAUAUGCUUAAGGAUUGGGCUGUAACCAAGGCAACCCAGUCUCCUGGAGAAAGUUUAAGUAGACAGUUUUAAAGCCAUUGCUCAAAGAUACAGUAAAUCUGGCUGUAGGGCUACUUGUGACAUAUGGAAGGUGCCACAGCCACCCAACACAAAGCACUCACCUUGUAACAACUCAGCCUCCUGUCAUCUAAAUGCUACAUUUGAUCAGCUGUGGUAUUUUCCUACAGUUGGCAUAAGGGUGACACAGGAGCCAUUUCCUGUGCUCUGGGUAAUUUGAUAGAAAUUUGACUGUGCCCACAUCCUACCCAGAUCAAACCUGUAUGAUCAGGGGAUAAAGAACCAGUCUGGUAUUAAUGGCUUAUGUCACACCAUGCAAUGGUUUUAAGUCCGUGCUUAAACAAACCCCAGGGACUUAAAUAUUUUGCUAAAUUAGAACCUGAUCCUGGGCCCUGUCUGGCCACACAAAUCAUGGGAUCAGGCCCUACUUGCCAAAAAAUGCUAGACAAAGACAAAGCAGCAUAAGCAGAAACUGCAGACUUGAACAGAAAUGUUUGUGUGAUCUUCCAACUCUUUCUGAAAGGAACAGUUUGGACGUUACCACAGCCAGAUGAUGUGAAUUUUUGUCAUGGCUAAGAAGGUCCAACUUUGAAAAACCAAGGUCUCUUUGGCAAAAAGACUCCUUCUUUGGAAGAGAUAAACAUGAUAUAUUAUAAAUAUGUGAUAAAUAUUGUGAUGAAGCCAUAUCCCAGUGGUUCUUAAUUGCAGUGCAAUUGAGAUAAAUCCCACCAGCAUUUCCUAAUUAAAUCCUGAAGCAUCAGCAGAGAGAUUACCAUAUACAUGUGGAUGAUGAGAGCCUCUGUGAUGUAUAUACAACAUCUUUCAAAUAUAUUUAUAGCUAUUUUGAAAAAUAAAGCCCCACAGAAUAAAGACGAGGCUUUUGGACACUCACUCCUUCCAGGCAGAUGGCUUUGGUGUCUAGGGGUGAAAAAAACCCCAUCACAGUACCUUUGCACAGAUGUGUCAGGUCUAGAAACCAGUCACAGCACCUCAAACAUCAAUACUGUUCAAUCUUUGUCAAUCCUAUUUCAUCCAUAAAGUAUUUAAUACUUCAAAAGUUUGGCUCUCACCUCCCUGCAUGCCAGCCCAACUCACCACAGCACUCUCAUAACAGAGAGGAUUCAGAGCUGGAUCUCCUGGCCACAUGCAUUGAAAUGAGCUGGAAUCCCAGGCCUACAUACCAGCAAACUUUUCUGGAAAGAGAAAAUAGAGCACCAGAAAUCAGUAGUUUGGGCUAGUCUGUGAUUAGUUUAAUCCCCAUAAUGUCUCUGGGAAACUGCAAAGAAGCUCUCUCAUGCAGAGGGCAGAAAACAAGGAGUGAUAUGACUCACUCCAGUUCAGCCUGUGGCAGGGCUGUAAAAAGCCCAAAGGCUCUGAACUUGGGUCCUCUCCUUAGUCUAGGCCACAUUCUGUGCUGGAAGGCACAGCUGCUUCAAAGGUUGCCAUCAAUUGCCCCAGUGUUAUUCAGAGAGUCUCAUCAGUCACUUGAUUUAACACUCACAAGAGUAAGGAAGGCCAGAGCUACAUUUUCUGCCUGCUGAACGGCUCAUUCUGCACCCCAGUGCAUCGCAUUAUCACCUGUGCUUGUAUCCCAGCACUGACCUCCCUUGUUUUUGUAGGGUUAGUUCAAACUAGAUUUGCUCAGUAUUUGCAAGGUUUUUGGACUGGUGGUGGCACAGACUGCUUGUCAAGAAACGAGCUCAGAAGGACCUUACAUGCCACGGUUCAGGGAGCAGGAGCCCAGGUGGAACCUGGUGGGAGCCAAGGUGCCAAAAAAUCUGUUUAUGUCUGAGGCAGCAACAUUCUUGCUGGCCAGGGUAGAAAUCCAGUAUAAAAAGUCAAACUGCUUCAGCACAGCCUCUAUGGUGGUGAAGGAAAACUCUUCUGCUCAAUGAUGCCACCCUUCUACAAAGACGGAUUCAUUUCAAGCUGUUAAUUUUGGGAAACUUCCCUGACUGGCGAAGUUUGCCAACAUAUAAACCAUGUAAGGAAUGGAGGUUUCAGACUGGUAUUUCUGCAUUUGAAUUUACCACAGACAGCUGAAGCUACUAUCACAGUGCUCUUCCAGAAAGGUUAGUGCUAAAGUGAAAGGAAGUGCACCAUUUGCAGGAGCUGCAGUAUCACAUCACAAUUUUUCCUUUGUUUCCUAUCAGUUCAGCUCAUCUAACUUUUCAGCAUUAGUGGAUGUAAUUAUUCUCUGUAACAGAAACCUGAUACAAAAAGGAAAUCACCACAUUCUUAUUGUUUUUCAGUGGGAUGCAUGAAUAAAAAUCUUAUAACUUACUCUUGAAAAGUGCCAGUUUGUCACUUAUAUGGUCAAUCAGACUGCAACUAUUUCAAUUCUGCUUCUUAAUUUAAGUGCAAAGAAAGGUAUUUUCCUUGAUUACAUCUGCAAAUAAGAUAUUAAUGUCAAUUCAGUGAUAUGAAAAUUACUCCCUCACUAUGUAAUUUGCACCUUAGUUAUUACGGGUUUCAUGAACAAGACUAUUAUAGCUGCUCAGAAUGCCAUAGAUUUUAAAGUUUUUGAUUUGUUUUUAAUUAACCAAACUAAAAAAAAAUAAAACAAAAAACCCAUACCCACAUUCAUGUGAAAAAAAAUUAUUUCCUAUGCCCAGGUUUUAUUUACCUUGGCCUGUAUAUUAAUUCUGGACUGAAGAUGAAAAUGCUAUUGCUGGCCCAGCACUCUACUGCCAUGAAUUUCACCAGAGGCAAGUUAUAAGUGGCUGGGAUGAAAA